AUUGAACGCUGGCGGCAUGCCUUACACAUGCAAGUCGAACGGCAGCAUGAUCUAGCUUGCUAGAUUGAUGGCGAGUGGCGAACGGGUGAGUAAUACAUCGGAACGUGCCCUGUAGUGGGGGAUAACUAGUCGAAAGAUUAGCUAAUACCGCAUACGACCUGAGGGUGAAAGUGGGGGACCGCAAGGCCUCAUGCUAUAGGAGCGGCCGAUGUCUGAUUAGCUAGUUGGUGAGGUAAAGGCUCACCAAGGCGACGAUCAGUAGCUGGUCUGAGAGGACGAUCAGCCACACUGGGACUGAGACACGGCCCAGACUCCUACGGGAGGCAGCAGUGGGGAAUUUUGGACAAUGGGCGAAAGCCUGAUCCAGCAAUGCCGCGUGUGUGAAGAAGGCCUUCGGGUUGUAAAGCACUUUUGUCCGGAAAGAGAUGGCUCUGGUUAAUACCUGGGGUCGAUGACGGUACCGGAAGAAUAAGGACCGGCUAACUACGUG
rnacentral:rRNA from 1 species